AAAGAAUUGUCAAUGCAUGGUUGAGGAAACAUCUGGGCCAGAAGAUGUUUCUCUACUUUCUAGUGCUAACUAGCAUAUAUCUGGAAAAAUUUCAUGGAAAACAGUAAUUUCCACCCCAUUAGACAUUGACUCAAAACUCUUUUUUUGAGUAAAUUUCCAAAAAGAGAGAUGUAUUUCUAGUGCCUGGUUAAGAAUUAUUUCUCAUCUAACCAAGGAAAAAAGAACUGGAUAAAGGAUAAAAAUGAUAAUGUUUUGUAAUUAUUUGUACCCAACUCAUCCAAUAAGUGGAAGAUGAUAGCCUACAACUAAAUUACCAACAUUAAUUAGUAUUAGUCCAAGAACUGGACAUAGCAUUUAACUAUUGCAAUUUAUAUCAGAACCAGCUCUUUAUUUUGUUGUUGUUUUUCUGGAAACUUUAAGGAAGUCCAGGGUAGCCAGAAAAUAUUUCCAAGUGGACCAAAUUUCCAAGAACAUAAUUAAGAUCCUGAGAGAUAAUGAAUUGCACAUCUACCAUUAGCAACGGUUUUCUUCUAACCUUACAAAAUUGGCAGCACUAAGUUUCCGUUGGACCAUAAUAAUCAUUCCAUAAGUUUGUGUUUGUACAUGGACAAGUCAAUGAUGCCAAUCCUUAACAGGUACUGCAUCAGUCAAACAAAUGCCCAGAAGAAGUCUUGUUUUAGGAAGUAUAGACCUUCAUUGACCUCGAGGUUGAAGAUGCAAUUGAUGAUGAUCAAUCUCUAGGCUUUGCUCCGAUCAGCGAGCACUGCUCCCAAGUUAAAACAAUUUAGAGAGAGAGAGAGAGAUCGCAGAGAAAGAAAGGAAUUUAGAGGGAGAGGGAGUAGGAAAUUGAAAUGGAAAUGGAAUGGGUGAGAGAAAUUAGAAAUAGAGGUAUCAAAAGAGAAGGGAUAUUAUUUUGACAGGCUAGG
rnacentral:misc_RNA from 1 species